GUUAUUCCUAAAAAAGCAGAACAGACGACAGUCGUCGCUUUUGAUUGAUGUUCCGUGGUCGUUGCUUAUUAAAAGAUUAUUGUGUGGUGUACAGUUAGAAAAUCAAGAUGUGAGUGAUCUAAAAAUUUGAGGGAGCCAUCUGGAGGUGGCAUUGAGGCAGCAACAACAUACAUGACAACCUGUCCGUGAUGUGUCCGGUGCCAUCACCACAUACUGUUCAAUUGUUGGCUACCCUCACCACAUGUGGGGGUAUCAGCGACUCCUUAGCAGCAUCCGGGCCCAUCGUGGAUGCCGUCCAUGUGUGUUGGACCAUCACAGGUGCAUUGGUCAUACAAUUUUGAUGCAAAAGUGAACCUGAAAACAUGAUAAAAUGUGGACGCCUCUGGAGAAAGCUCAGUGUGUGUGGCCCGGUAGAUACAGACGAUACCUGAUGCCCAAAUGCAACGAACCUUUCAGACUUGGAAUACAUCAUUUAUGGAAACAGGUCAUGCAAUUUUGAUGCAAAAUGGAACCUGAAAACCUGAAAAAAUGUGGAUGCUACUGGAUAAAGCUCAACGUGUGUGACCUGGUAGAUACAGACGGUACCUGAUACUCAAAUGCAAUGAUCGUUUCGGACUUGGAAUACAUCAUUUAUGGAAACAGGUAGAGUACUCCAUAAAAAGACUCUGGUCACCCAUCGGUUUCAGAUUCCAAUGUGGACAGGGUACGGCAGGUGUUCGCAAGGAGUUCUAUAAAAUCGGCAUGUAUGGCAGCCAGAGCGUUGGAAAUGAGAAGAUCGACAUUGCACAAUGUCAUGCAUAAGAGGUAAUGGCUCUAUCCCUGCGUGCAGCUGCUUCAGGCAUUAAAGCCUAUGGACAAACCUAGGUGCGAACAAUUUGCAGUGGAUAUUCUAUGCAAGAUUGAUGUAAGCAUUGACUUUUUGGAAAAGAUUUGUUUUCCGAUAUGGCAACAUUUCAUGUAUCUAGCAGACUGAAUUGUCAUAAUGUUUGUAUGUAGGAUUUGCAGCAUCCUCGUGUUACACAUGAAAUGGGAAGAGACAGU